UAAUUUAAUCGAGAAAAAGCUAUAUUAAAUUAUCUACAAAUUUUAGAAUAUCUAAUUGUUAAGAUUAAAAAUCGACCUAUCAUAUUUUGGAUAUUCCUAAAAAUUUCAAAUAUAACAUUGAUUGCUCAUCAGACUAUAAAUAUGAUAUUAAAGUUUGAUAUUAAAAUUAAAAUAAAUUGUAUAGAACUUUUCUAAACUAUAAAUCAUUUUGAAUAAUCUAUCCGACCUUUCAAAAUCUUAUUUUUACUAUUCAAUCAUUCUAUAUGUUAGAUUUAAAGCAAUCAAUAAUAUUUGGCUUUAAAAUUUGAAUACGUCGUUUAGCUUACAGAUUUACUUUAUAAACUUCAUAUAAUUCUCGCAACUAAAUUUAUAAAAAUAAAUAAUUAACUUAAACCAUAAUCUCUCUUUUAUUUUUUUAUUGUACAAUCUAUAUUUAAGUUGCGAGAAUUAUUAAUAUUAUAAUUCUCGCAACUAAAAUUAUAAAACUAAAAUUAUAUUUAAUAUAUUCAAUAUAAAUUAUUUAAAAUUCAUGUAUAAAAAAUUAUAUAUUUUAAAAUUUUGUAAUGAGUAAGAAGAAUUAGAUUAAAUUUAUAAAAGA
rnacentral:lncRNA from 1 species